GUGGAGGCCAUCUGGCUCGAAAUUCUGUCAGUGUAAUGCUGAGAAUUGGCGCUCUUACAAGCACAAGGACAUUCCUCUGCCUUGGAACGAAGAUCCCCAGGCUGAAAUAAUUUGAACGCAGAUAUUUAGUUAAAGUCACCUUUACGCUUGGAGCAAGAGCAUUACCCCCCCGUAAUUCCGAGCAGAUGGACCUGACCCCACUCUCCUGCAUAAACCAGUUGUACAGAAGGUUCCAUUUGGGCUAAGUCAUUAAAACCAAAAAUCUGGACUGUCCCGGAAAAACAACAAAAACAUUUUGAUUAUGCUGGACCUGCAGAAUAUUUCUGGCAUUUUCAAUUCAUAUUUAAGGAAUCAGAAAUCAGGGAGGUUUGAUCAACUGUAGUGUUUGCAGAGCUAUUGUCAAAGUGACAAAGUGCUCUGAGGAAGUUGUAAUCAGUUUCUCCUACUCUGAAUAUGACUUUUUACAUCGGACUACAAUAUUUCAAAUACAACUCUCAAUCAUGACUGCUUUAGUCAUUGUUAUCACUUGUAGAUUGCAUCUGUAAAAAAAAAAAAUUCCUGUAAAGCACCCACUUAUCCUAUAGAAGGUCAGUUCCAAUGAAGACAAUACAGUCAUCAGUAUGUAGCUAAAUUCUUCUCAAUCCUGGCACCAUGCUCUGUAAAGAUAGAGCCAUGGAUUCUGUUAAGUGAAGAAUUCUGGACACACAAAAUGUCAUGAAAGAGAAAGAGAAGCAAUAAGAAUUGCUGGCACAGGAAAAUGAACUGGCAGCUUUCAUUUCUCCUUUCACUGAUUCCAUCCCAGAAGGCAAUAAAGCAUUUUCUCGAUAAUCCUUCCCAUUCCUCAGACUUGCAUGGAUGCCAAUAAUGUUGUGGAAUUAAUCAAUUUAACAAAUAUUCUUAUUUGUGGAGCAGUAGCUGUAUUUGAGUUGUCUUGGUCCUUGUGAUGGUCCAUCCCUUCAUCCUUGCUUCAUCUGAUCCUUGAACAAAAAAUACUUUUGCCUUGUUCAGGUGUUAAUGACCACAAGCUUGAACAGUUCUUAGGUAUCAACACUUUGACUUGCUUCUUCACUUCACUCUUCUGAGAUGAGCAGAAAUUUCUUCACUCGAGAAUGUCUCUAAGUACAGAUGGACAGUGUCCAUGCAGGUUUAACUCCCAACUGAACGUGACCGGUGAGGUUAAAGGGUCUAGGCCCGAAACGUCAGCUUUUGUGCUCCUGAGAUGCUGCUUGGCCUGCUGUGUUCAUCCAGCCUCACAUUUUAUUAUCUUGGAAGCUUUUGUGCUCCUGAGAUGCUGCUUGGCCUGCUGUGUUCAUCCAGCUCCACAUUUUAUGAACGUGACCGGUGAUUGGUUACCGUGAUGUGAGGUGAAGGUUGUUAAUCACAGCCCUCCACCCCAACGAGCCGUUUGCCAGUAACAUGCUGCCCGUUGAGAGAAGGAACUGCUCAGCUGACCUUGUGACUGCAGACGAGGGAGGAACCUAACGAUCAUGGAAGGAGCACCACAGACAAGGGCAACAAUUGUCGGGAGGAAAAUGCAGUCAAGAAAGAAGCUGAUUUGUCUUGUGAACAAUAUCUGUUCUGUGCUCAGAUCUAAAUCAUUACAGCGGGUCUGACAUGCUCGGAAGAAUUUUGAGGAACCCAAAGGAAAGUGGACGAACGAAUGUAUAAUAAAAACCGAGUCAUCAUCGCAAAGAAUAUUGAAGGGGGAGGUUGCCGCUUACGUGAUGGACUAUUAACUGACAGCACAUUUGGGCAUUGGAAGCGUCUUUACUACUAUGCGUGGAAUAAAGGGGGUUGAAGUGUGUGUGUCUCUGUGCGUGUAAACUGAAGAAAGUCAUUGUAUUACCGAGUCCCAAUCAGGUUAUUGUGCUGCCAGCUGUACUAAACAUAAACAAGAACAUUGUUAUGGCCAGAUAGACAUAUGACUGCGUGCGUACACUUCUGUUCAACCUGCUUUGAGCCUUCAUUGAUUUCCAGUGGUAGG